rnacentral:tRNA from 1 species
CGGGGCGUGGUUUAGUGGUAGAAUGCACGGCUGGGGGUCGUGCGGUCCAGGUCCGAUUCCUGGCGCCCCGA